rnacentral:rRNA from 1 species
UACGGAGGGUGCAAGCGUUAUCCGGAUUCACUGGGUUGAAAGGGUGCGUAGGUGGGCAGGUAAGUCAGUGGGGAAAUCUCCAAGCUUAACUUGGAAACUGCCGUUGAUACUAUCUGUCUUGAAUACCGUGGAGAUGAGCGGAAUAUGUCAUGUAGCGGUGAAAUGCUUAGAUAUGACAUAGAACACCGAUAGCGAAGGCAGCUUACUACAUGUUCAUUGACGCUGAGGCACGAAAGCGUGGGGAGCAAACAGG